rnacentral:rRNA from 2 species
UAUGGUCAAGUGAAGAAGCGCAUACGGUGGAUGCCUUGGCAGUCAGAGGCGAUGAAAGACGUGGUAGCCUGCGAUAAGCUUCGGGGAGUCGGCAAACAGACUUUGAUCCGGAGAUCUCUGAAUGGGGGAACCCA